UAUCACAUAUUCUGAUUUACUGGAGAAAAAAAUCUAUCAUUAGUGGUCAACAAAGACAACAUGAUCUAUCUAGCCCUGCUUUAAUUGAAAACAUCACAGCAUUGUAAAUUGCAGAUGAAAUGAUAAAAUUUCAGACAAUGUAUAGGAAUUCAGAUAAAGCAAAAUGAGAAUGAUAUGAAUCUCCAUUUGGAUAGAUCAAGACUUGAAAUGAAGCGAUGUUGGAAUUUAACAUUAUGUUGGUGUUCUAUUACUUUACCCAGAAAUCCAAAUCCACCUUCAUUUUGAAUGCAUACCUUUCCAAAUGGACAGAAAGGAAUGCAAGAAAAGAGAAGAGGAUAGUAAAACAUUCUAAGAACCAGAAUAUCAAUUAGAAUCCCAAGACAUUAAGACAAAUAAUUGAGUAUCACAGAAGAAAGUUUAGACAGAGUAAGAGUUGACAACUAGCAGCAAACAUGACUAGGGAGGAAUAAGAUUUCCCAGUUCCUGCCAGAUGCAAUAUUAGAAUCCAUCUUCUCAUUAGUAAUAAACAGAAAUUAAGCUAUAAGGUCGAAGAAACUACAAUUCAUAUUGCCUUAAAAGAAGCAAAACACCAAAAGGAGAAGAAUAAUAAGGGAACAGAUCAUCACAAGAUUUCAAAAGGAAUUCCUGAUUAAGAGAGAUUAAAAGGAUGCCAACCCACCUAUAUAACUGAAGCAUCAUAUGAAAAGCCAUUAUGGUCUAUUAAUAUGAUAAGGCAGGAAGAAAAUCAUCCAAAUAUAUGGUCAACGCUUUUCUAGAGUAGAAGAUUUCUUGAGGUCCGCAAGGUAUGUGACAAACAGAAGAAACAAAAAUAACUUUUUGUUCCAAACAUUAAACCGUGUUAAAACAGCAAAUCAACUGAUACACUCAUAGUCAGUAUGUUAACCAAUUUCAGUGCAUCACUUGAAACCUACUGGGUGUCAACACAUUUACCUCUAAUACCAUUAAAAAAGUUUUGGGAAAUUGGUAUUCCUAUUCCACCAUUUAGUUUUCACUAUAAAUGUUGAAAAUUUGACAUAAAUUUUUGCAAAAAAUACACAUUAUUUGCACAUGGUUUUGAAUAGCAACAAACUAAAAAAUUUGAUGAUGCUUGGCACUCAUGAAAUUUUUUCAAUACUUGCACUUUAGCACUCUUAUUUUCCAUUCUUACCACUUGAUUAAUUUGCUACUAGGAUACUAUGCCAAAAUUAUACCAAAAUGGCACCAUAUUGGAUAUUAGUUGUAGUUUCUGCAAAGUGAAAGAUCACUUUGAUAUUUAAUUUUGGUUUGAUGCAUAUUAACCUCAGAUAGGUAUAGCUGUUCUCCACGAAAUGAACUUCAUCUCUUCCUUAAUUUUUUAUAAUGUUUGAUUGGUUUGAGAAAAAUAAAUAAAAAAACAACGAUUUUAGGUUAGGAAUUGGGGUUAGGAUUCAAACAAGUUGGGGCAGGACAACAUGUGGCCUUAUUGGCAAUUCCCAGUGCCCACAAGAUGGGGAGGGGAUCAAAUUGCCAGGGUUUAGGGUGUGCCAAUGAAAAGAAGUUUACUCCCAGAAUGGCAGAACUUCAUCACACUGUCUUUCUCACUUCAUAAUUCUCAUGUAUAGAGCACAUGACAUGAAGUCCAUCAUGUUCCUGAACAAGGGCUAAGACAGAACUUCCAGGGACAGCAAAUACAUAAUUGCUUGUUCAUUGGCUUUAGAGCAUCUGUAUCACAUCAACCAUCCUAGAUUUUACAGGGAAGGAACCGAAAGUACAAAAUGGGGAAGUUGUUUGGUGUUUGAAGAGAUAAUUUGGGCUGUAGCCAAGAAACCCAUUAUUGAUCAAAUCGAGACAGAUCCAAUUCAUUGGUAAAAGAAAAAUCUACCUGCCUGCAAUAUGAAAAAAUAUAUAGACGUGGCUGGCUUCUGCACCACCAAAGUGACCGCUUGAGUUCUACUAAAUGUAAUACAAAUGCAGGGGAAAGUUAAACCCAUCAACGCAAAUAUCCUAAGUCUAGUAGCAGUAGUUCUUUCAGAUUUACAAUAAGCAGCAUUUGCGAGGAUCUUACAGUUUGCACAGGAUUCUGCCAUGUGAACAAAAUUAAUUACUUGCAAGCUUUGUCAGAAGGCUACCAAGAAUAUGAAAGAAAGGCCCAUUUCCAGUAAACCCUCCCUAUAUCACUCAAUUAAAAGGAGUAUUACAUCCCAAACAAUCAUUCCUAAGAAAAGAAUCCUAAUGAAAUAAGCCAGGAAAUUGGAACAGAAAAGUGAGAUAAAUGGGCAAAUAUCCAACAAGAUCUGAUUCUAGAAAAUUUGCUACUUGUUCUGGUUUAAUUUUAGAACAAGCUCUGAAUGAUAAAAAUAUACAAGAGUAAUAUACACACUACAUAAAUCAAUAUUCAACAUGCAACAAAAUAUUUUAGGGUACAAAAAAAAGCAUCUAAAGAAGUAUAAGAUUGUACAGGAACUAUUAUCUUAAUCAAUGAACAUCAACAAAAUAAUCCAAAACAUAUUUUUAGUAUGGAAAUGUGUAAA
rnacentral:misc_RNA from 1 species